AUUGCUUCUUGGCCUUUUGGCUAAGAUCAAGUGUAGAAUGUAUGAUUAAUGUUACUUUUGACUAUCUUUA
ensembl:snRNA U2 U2 spliceosomal RNA